rnacentral:rRNA from 1 species
GAGUUUGAUCGUGGCUCAGAGCGAACGCUGGCGGCAGGCUUAACACAUGCAAGUCGAGCGGGCGUAGCAAUACGUCAGCGGCAGACGGGUGAGUAACACGUGGGAACGUACCUUUUGGUUCGGAACAACUGAGGGAAACUUCAGCUAAUACCGGAUAAGCCCUAACGGGGAAAGAUUUAUCGCCGAAAGAUCGGCCCGCGUCUGAUUAGCUAGUUGGUGAGGUAAUGGCUCACCAAGGCGACGAUCAGUAGCUGGUCUGAGAGGAUGAUCAGCCACACUGGGACUGAGACACGGCCCAGACUCCUACGGGAGGCAGCAGUGGGGAAUAUUGGACAAUGGGGGCAACCCUGAUCCAGCCAUGCCGCGUGAGUGAUGAAGGCCCUAGGGUUGUAAAGCUCUUUGUGCGGGAAGAUAAUGACGGUACCGCAAGAAUAAGCCCCGACUAACUUCGUGCCAGCCGCCGCCGUAAU